AAUACAUAAAUAUUAGUAAAUAUAUUAAUUAUGUGUUUUAGAGUGGAUUGCAAGAAAUGUGGGAACUAUUCAUGGGCAGGUUGUGGAAAACACUUGAGCUCCCUUUAUGCAAAUAUUGAAAAGGGGAAGCAUUGUAUGUGCAAAUCUUGGCCUGGUGUGGUUAUCCCACCACAAGAUCCUUCUGCAGAAUCUUCAUCAUCAUCUUCAACCACCCAAGAAGCAUCGACAACCUGAAGAUACCUCACACGAGCCCCCGCUAUGAAUAAAUGGAUAUAUUACGCCAUUUGUAAUAUACAUAUACUCUCUUCGUCGUCCCGUUUCAAAUGUCUUAAAAUUAUAGGACGAAGGGAGUAAUAAUUUUCUGUUUAUUUCAAAGUAGUAUUUGUGCAGUAAUUGUGUGGGUGUGCAAACUGAGGUCAAUAACCAUUGACCAGACAGUUUCUAGUCGUGUGUGACAUUUUAUUUAAUAUUUCAUAUAAUCAGCAAAUCUAUGUUUAAUUUUUUGUUUGUAUAUGGUGCAGAGCGCCUCAAAUUUAAGUUUUAAAUAUAGUCUUAAUCAGUGGGGUUUGUG